rnacentral:rRNA from 1 species
AUUGAACGCUGGCGGCAGGCCAAACACAUGCAAGUCGAACGAGUGGCGGACGGGUGAGUAAUGUCUGGGAAACUGCCUGAUGGAGGGGGCUAACUACUGGAAACGGUAGCUAAUACCGCAUACCAUCGGAUGUGCCCAGAUGGGAGUAGCUAGUAGGUGGGGUAAAGGCUCACCUAGGAGACGAUCCCUAGCUGGUCUGGGAGGAUGACCAGCCACCCUGGCACUGGGACACGGUCCCGACGCCUACGGGAGGCAUGAGUGGGGAAUAUUGCACAAUGGGCGCAAGCCGGAUGCAUCCAUGCCGCGUGUAUUAAGAAUGCCUUCGGGUUGUAAAGUACUUUCAGCGGGGAGGCGUUACCCGCAGAAGAAGCACCGGCUAACUCCGGGCCAGCAGCCGCGGUAAUAC